rnacentral:lncRNA from 1 species
GGCAUUCUGUAGGUGCGGCCAGGUAAGUUUCGGCUUAUGCCAUGUUGCGCCUGCGCAGUUGGUCUGUAUUGUUCCCGGGCGUGGGCUGCAUUUUCCCGCGCGCGGGUAAGUUGGUGAUGAAGAACCCGGAAAUGCGCCAUCUUAGUCGUCUUUGUCCUCAUCCCCCGUCCAGACAUGGCACGCGUAUGGUGAGAAUUCAUCUGAAGGUAACAACAAUUGAAACAUGCUGUACCAAUCCUCAUGCCCUAUUUCUCAAGCAGAAGAAUGUGCCCUCUGAGCAGACAAAACACAAGAGCUACCCCUUUUUCAGAGAUGAUGCUGCUUCUCUUAGGGAAAGAAUGACAUUGCCAAAAUGGUGGAAUAAAAUCAAUAUAGCUUCACUAUCCCCAACAGAAAACCAACAACAAUUAUCCAGUGCAAAAAUUAUCACCAACAAUAUCCCAGAACUCAUAAUUUAG